AUGGGUCGAGCGGCGCAGGAGCGUGCGGUGAUGUCGUGACCGUCGCGUAGCAGGUAGGGCGCGACGGUUGAACCGGUCAAAGUCGGUUGAUUCGUA
rnacentral:tRNA from 1 species